CUGCUGAGGAGUCCCAUACCAGGACGAAACGGCCGUCCAG
rnacentral:hammerhead_ribozyme from 1 species